GGUGUUGAGUCCACUGGCUCACGGUUAAGCAACCUUAGAGGGUUAACCAAAGAGAGUUGAAGUCUCGUCAAGAACGAGCUGGGUUGGACCGUUCGGGAGAGUAGGGUAGCUUGAGAAUGCUGCCUGAAAGGUGGUACGCACCAUCGAAGGCAAAAGAGAGUAAGGAGUCCGAUAGAGUAGAAGUAAUGUGAAUGAAGGAUGAAAAGCACCCUAAGUAAGGGAGUUAAGAGCGCCUGAAGUUGUCAAGGGUGAGGCAACUAAGUUGCGCCCGUCUUGUAACACGGAUUAGGGAGUUUAACGGCGGUACGAGUCGUGAAAGGAUCUUUCACGGCGGAGAGAAAUCGACUCGAUAAAGGGCGUGCGAGUACCGGUGUUAGAACCCGAAAGGAGGUGAACUAUGCCUGCGUAGGUUGAAGCCAAGGGAAACUUUGGUGGAGGACCGGAGGAGUGGUAAUGUGCAGAUUCCUAUUAAGACGUGGGUAUAGGGGCGAAAGACUCAUCGAACCUCCUAAUAGCUGGUUUCCCUCGAAGUUUCCCUAAGGAUAGCAGCGAUCACUUGAGUUGAGGUGCGUAGAGCAAUGGGUAGAGGUCGAGUGGGCUCUCGGGCCUGCAACCGAUUUCCAAACUGCGAAGCAUCUUCUGUUCACUUACCCUGCCGGAAGUGUUCAGCAAAUCAUGAUCGUUAGUGGGCUCUGUCUGGUAAGCGGACAUGGCGAAAAGGAAUGAACCUGCAGUGGUGUUAAGGCGCCAAAUUUACGAUCAUUGAGACCAUUAAGAAGGUUCUUGUAUCCUGACAGCAGGUCGGUGACCCUAAGAGUAGGGAUCCGUUAAAAACCGUGUUACAACCUCCCUGCCGAAUACUAGGGCUUCGAAAAUGGAUGGCGCAGCUCGUAAAGCCGACACACCGCAUGAGGCCGAGCGGCCUCAGAGUAGGGGGAUGUGUUAGCCUCGUUGAAGAUUCUGUGCAAACAAGAUUGGAGAGGCUAAUAGUACAGAUCUUAAUUGAAGUAGCGAUUAUCCACUUAAGUAAGUGGGGGCUGAAGAGGAGCAGGGUUUCUGGGCAACCGGAGUGGUCCCAGAUUUAGUCGGUCCUAACCUGAAAGGGGAAAGGGAAUACGGUUGCUAUUCCGUAACUGCGCCUUGCACUCGGCAACGACUCGUCACUGAGACAGCCUUCUGAUUACCGAAUCCUAGGGAGACUUUCCUAGUUAAACUUCUGGCGACCACGGAAACAGGUCAACUGGCGAAAGUGGUCACACGAAGUGCAUAAGCCUCUAGCUCAGAGGCUGUUCGGCUAAUCAGCGGGUCCUUGAAGAUACAGCGACAUACCAAGGUGCAUCCGUACCGAAAACCGCAGCAGGUCUCCCAGGUGAGUAGCCUCUGGCCAUUGGGGCAUGGUAGUUCAGGGAAUUCGGCCAAUUGGAGCUGUACCUUAGGAAUAAAGCUUGGCUCGGGUGGAAACUCGAACUGAUAGUAACCAGGGGAGCGCAACUGUCUAAUAACAACGCAGUCUCGCGCGGUCGCGUCUAUGUGAGAGAACGCGAGAUGAGUUCUGCUCAGUGCUGUGUCUGUUAAUGUGGUUAAAGCCACGCAAGCACCGGUAAAUAGCUGGGGUAACUAUGACUCUUAUCAAAGUAGCGAAAUACCUCGUCACUUAAUUAGUGACCUGCAUGAACGGAGCUAUGACGUUCCCACUGUCCCAAACUAUCUCCCAGCGAACCAACAGUUGUGGGAACGGGCACAAGGUUUCCAGCGGGGAAAGAAGACCCUGUAGAGCUUCACUGCGGUCUAGUCCUGCGCAGUUCGGUCGAGGGUGCAGAACUAGGUAGGAGCGCAAGCGAUUAUGAGAAACUACUACCUCGAGACGAAUUGUGCUUACCGUCGUAAGAUGGAAUAAGCCUAGAUAGGCAGUUUGGCUGGGGCGGCACACCUUCGACAAUGGAGCGAAGGUGUCCAAAGCCGAGCUCAGCGAGGACAGAAAUCUACGCGUAGAGGAUAAGGGCCAAAAGCUUGGUUUACUGCGCCUUUAUGUACCAGGAGCAGUUUCGAAAGAAAGGCCUAACGAUCCCUAAUUAGCCUGAAGGCGUCAGGCUURGGGUGACAGACAAGUUACCUCCGGGACAACUGGCUUGUGGCCGCUAAGAGAUCAAAUUCAACGCGGUCUUUUUUGAUUCU
rnacentral:rRNA from 1 species